GCCCUAGUAGCUCAGAGUAAGAGCGUCGGCCUUGUAAGCCGAAUGUCGGAGGUUAGAUUCUUCCCUAGUGCU
rnacentral:tRNA from 1 species